GGUGAGAUGGCCGAGCGGUCUAAGGCGCCAGACUAAGGAUCAGAGCAUUUGAUGCUCAACGAAUGUGGGAUUCAAACCACGAUAUCUGGUCCUCCGGGGCGAGGGUUCGAAUCCCUCUCUCAUCA